UCAUUUCCACACUCAAGCUCUGCUUGGUGAUGGGCGCCUGUCCCGCCUCGGCGCGGACUCGCCUCAAAUGCAUUGGCGGCCGGUUACAUUGGCUUCGAGCGCAGCACAUUUGCGAAACUCGGGUCACUUGUUUCUCUGGCAUCCAGAAGCCACUUCCAAAUUUUGACCUCGGAUCAGGUAGGGAUACCCGCUGAACUUAA
rnacentral:misc_RNA from 1 species